UGCAAUCUUAUUUCAUUGACUGACAUAAAUUAUAAAGUCUCACAAUUCUAAAUACGCAGCGGAACAAUAAAGAUGGAACAUUAAUUUAAAUAAAAACCUAAUCUAAGAUAAUUUGUGCCAUAAUUCUUUUAUUCGCACUCCCAUAUUGUAAAACCCCGGAUCGAGCUAAUUCUUCGGAUCUGUAAAAAUAGUAAGAAAUCGUAUAAUGAGCUAGACAGCCCAGUAAGUAAUAAACACCUUACCUAGUCAAUUCAUAUAAUAACAUAAAAUAUAAAUACAAAUUACGAUGAAUCAACAUAAUAACAUAAUCAAUUCCUUUUCAAGCACAAAUUCAUUAAAAUUCGUAUUUUUCCAUAUACAUAAUCAUAAAUCUGAUUCGAAACAAAUCACAUUCAUCUCAUCAGCCUUUAGCUACGACCACACUUAUACCCUGUGGCUAGGCCAGAAACAGAACGCACUUAUACCCUACGGAGUGGGCCAGAAUACCGCACUUAUACCUUGCGGAGUGGGCCAGAAUACCACACUUAUACCCUAUGGAGGGGCCAGAUUUGCCAAUGCAUAACCCCCUAUUGGCAGGGUCCAAAACAUAGCCAGGCUGAGAGUUCUAAAUCUGAUGCACAUCAAAAUUCUUUUGUAGCAAAUAGAUAUAUCAUAAUCCGAUCUAAAUAUGCAUAUACGAUGCAAGAACAGUAAUUAUAUCCGAAAAAUGUUAUUCCAAUUCACAUAUCCAUUUUUCAUUCAAAUCAUCAUCUCGUAAAAUUCAUAAAUCACAUAUAAAUUCAUUAACAAUUUAUUCGAUGCGUAAAUAAUAUUAUAUAAUUGAAAAGUUUAGAGAAGGCAGUUCAUUACUUACAUUGAACGCGAUCCACAACAAAUCCAAUUAAUCUCACAAAUUCCUCGCAGGACCUAAUAUCCAAAAAUCAUAUUUUCUUUUAAAAUUAAUCAUAAUAUAUAUAAAAACUUAAAUUUAAUAUUUUCCCAUAGGCGACCCUGCAGGAGUGCCUAGCACCCUGAGUUCGAGUUCGGGUUCGGGUUCAUACACGUAGACCACCCUCUUCCCUUUAUUUUACUAUUAUUAUUAUUAUUGUCUUUUCUUUUCUUUCCUUCCCCCCCUUUUUUUUCUUCUUUUCUUCUCUUUUCUCUCCCGACUCCCCCUCUUCUCCUUCGGUGAAACAGGGGGUCCCGUGACCCCCUCUUCUUCUUCUUCUUCCCUCUCGGUCGGACUCCGGGGCAGCCAUGGUGGCCGGCCACGACGGCGGCAGGAGGCGGCGGAGCAAGCCCGACCACCCCCUGCGGCUGGCGGCGGCGAGCACGCCGGCGCUAACGCCUCUAGCCGAAGCGAAGCAUCCCUUUUUGGGCCAAAAUCCGGUGAUCGGCCGGCUCAAAAUCACCACCCACCAUGGCUAAUCACCAAGCAAGGAGAAGGAAAAAACUUACCUUAGCCCCGACGAAGAUCCGGCGCCUCCCUUCCUCUCCGGCGGCAAUGAAGGAAAAGGGUCACCCGUGCUACUUGGCUCUCUCUCUUCCUCUCUCUCUCUCUCCGGUAAUGCGAGGAAAAUCUCUCCCCCUUCUCCCUGGCGGCUCUUCUCGGUGGUCUUAAGGAGGA
rnacentral:lncRNA from 1 species